UACAGAGGUCUCAAGCGUUGUUCGGAUUCAUUGGGCGUAAAGGGUGCGUAGGUGGCGCCGUAAGUCGGGUGUGAAAUUUCGGAGCUUAACUCCGAAACUGCAUUCGAUACUGCGGUGCUUGAGGACUGGAGAGGAGACUGGAAUUCAUGGUGUAGCAGUGAAAUGCAUAGAGAUCAUGAGGAAGACCAGUGGCGAAGGCGGGUCUCUGGACAGUUCCUGACACUGAGGCACGAAGGCCAGGGGAGCAAACGGG
rnacentral:rRNA from 1 species